UAGAUUCUUCAAAGUAUCUCCUCUUGUUUAGAUGAUCAGUUUUGAACAUCUCUGCUGGAUUUUCUCAGUCAGUUUUAUGAGGUAGAGUCUCCUGGAAUUCAGGCUUUCAGUUAACAGCUGUGCUGAACUCAUCAAGAGUUAAUUACUUGAAUUUCUUGUCUCUUAAUAAAGUGUUUGAGAGCAUCAGUUAAAGUAAAGUAGUGAAGAGGUAGAGUUACAGGUAUACAGUGAAUAGUGAAUAUUAGAGUAAUGUUCGAAUCCAGAUUAUUAACUAAAUAAAGAAUAAAAAAAUGACUUUAAGAAGAAAUGAAGGUCAGUCAAUCCAAAAAAAAAACAAUUUCAGGAACUUUGAAAGUGUUCCCAAGUGCAGUCACCAAAAAAGACCAUUAAAAACGCUAUGAUGGUGAAACUGGCACUCAUCAGGAACGCACCAGGAAAGGAAGAUCGAGAGUAUUUUUGUUUAACACUUUUAAGUUACUACAUAAUUCCUAUGUGUUUCCUCAUAGUCUGAAUCACUUUACUAUCAGAAGGUGUGUCUAAACUUUUGACUGGUACUGUAAAAAAUAUAUAUAUAAAUAUAUAUAUAUAUAUAAAAGGGUGUCCACAAACAUGUUGUACAUGUAGUGUAUGUACACGACUCUGUAUUGGAUGUGCCUUAUUCACAAAAACCAGCGCUGACUGAAACACUCUUUAUAACUUCAGCAGGAGUGGGCGGGGCUAAACUGCUGUAGGCUGAAUGUGAGGAUUAUGUGUAGGUGGGAUGUUUUUCAGGAGAGGCUGUUUUUUAUUUUUUAUUUAAUUGAUUUUUAAAUCCUGCUUAAGAAAAUCUAUUUAAAAGAUAAUUUCUGCUUUUUAAAUUCUGAACAAAAAACACCAACACCUCCCUGUUCUUCCGCUUGCUUUUCCACUUGGAUAUGUGAGUAUACUCCACUUUAAAAUACUUUUAUCUAUACUAAAUAUUACAUACUCAAAAGUGUGUAGUUAGUAUUAGGAAUUAGUCUUGGUGCAGCCUUGUUUUCUCUUUGUCUCUCUCUCUCUCUUUCUGUAGUUUAAUGGUUGAGAGUAGAUGGUGUGUGUGAGAGGACAGCAGAUGGAAGGAGUGUGUGUGUGUGUGUGUGUGUGUGUGUGUGUGUGUGUGUGUGGGUGUGUGUGUUGGCUGGCUGCCGUGAAAACGUGAAAAGAGUGAAUGCUGCUGUGCUGCAGACGAAUGACAAGACUGACGCGUGCCUGGCACACAGCCAGCGUGUGUGUGUGUGUGUGUGUGUGUGUGAUGUAGAACACACACACACACACACACACACACAUCUACACACUUACAUGUACACACACGCACACACACACACAUCAAUUGGUAGUUAUGAAGUGAUCUAUCAUAAAGUGUGUGUGUGAAAGUGAAACCGCCGUUGUUCACCUGACCCAUGUCACAUUAUUGUGUGUGUGUGUGUGUGUGUGUGUGCACACAACUACUGAGGCCACGUCCACACAAACACACUUUGGCCCCUGUUUUUGUUUGAUUUAGGGCGUGUCAGUGUGUCUUUGCUAUCGUAACGACGGGAAAAGUACAGCUUGCGAGGCUCAAAACAAAGCGCAAAAGUCAUGUACUAAUUCUCUAUUUAAUUAAUCAUGGGUGUGGUUAAUUUUGGGCGUCACGUAAAAUAAACCAAUCAGAUUGUAUCUUGCUCAUCAUUCCCUUUAAGAGUCAGGUGAGCUCUGAACAUCAAUUCCACUAGAAGUAUCCGCAAGCAUCUCCCUGUAGUAUAAAUUCGCCUGAUUUGACAAUUUACUGCCAAGAUAGCGAUGAACGUCUGAUUGCUGGUGUCUGUCUAGGUUGUAUUCAGUCAGUGGAGCUCCUGUGUUUUCUGUUACCAAGAUAAACAAGCAAAACUCCAGAAAUGUACCUGAACACACCUCAUUUCCAGAACACCACGCCCAUCAGUGUAGAUAUAUUCAGAAGCUCUGCUGCUGUUUAAACAAGCAGUGAAAAUAGGCUGUUGUUUGGGGGUGUAAGAUAGCAAUGAGCAUCACAAUUUGCCUUGUGCAGAAUGUAAGAAAGGCACUGAUCAGCAUCCAGACAAUAGAGUAUAUAUAAGUGUGGACAGUACAUUCUCAUUAUAAAGCCAGAUCAUGUGACCUUAAUAUGGGUGGAGCUUGCAUACUUUACAAAAGAAAACUGGCAAAAAAAUGCUGAAUGUGUAAUUUUAAAUCAAAGUUUUAUGUUUUCUUCACAUCAAAAUAUGCAGGGUUAAAAGCUGUACUGCAACCAGCCACCAGGGGGCGUAAGAAAAACGUUAGAUUCACUUCCCAACCACUCGACUGUUUUUAAUCUAAACUCUAUAAUUCAGAAUAUAAUUUUCAGAAGAUUAUUAAAGCUCAUGGAGAACCUUGAGAUCUUGGUUCCUCCCAGAUCUUUAGUUUUUUGUUUAAUUUCGAAACAUUUUAUAUUGUGGGCGUGGCCUGAACAGGCGUUCUCUCCCUGUAUAAAGGUGCUCACUGUCUGUCUGUCUGUCUGUCUGCAGUAUUUUAUUCCACAGGUGUGAAAGGUGUAAAUACACGAGUGAUAUUCUAUUUCUAUUAAAUGAAAUCAAUUUAAAAAAUAUAAAAUAAAAGCCGUGCUGUUCAGGGAGUCACACAAAAGAAGCACAUUCCACUGUUUUAUACUGAAAUCACUAUUUUUAAUAAAUGAAUGAUUGUAAUGUUGUAAAGGACAGUGUUUGUGUGCUUUGGUAUAAUUUAACAUGUUAUGCACUGGAAUGUAAUGAUGUCGUGUCUUCGUGCUUUAUUAUAAAUUACUGUUUUUAUUUUUAUAUGAGGCUGUGUGAAUUUCUUUACAGUCUAAACAUUCAAACGUCUACAUGUGUGUGAAUUAUAUUUGAUCAAUAAUGAAUGUAACAGUCUUAAAGAGUGGACUCUAUAUACAGUAGAAACAAAGACACUUACAGUAAAUAUCCAUUUAAAUGCAUGAAACAAUUCUUUGGUUAAAAGGUUCUUCAGUUU